rnacentral:rRNA from 1 species
ACCAACAGGGAUUGCCCUAGUAACGGCGAGUGAAGCGGCAACAGCUCAAAUUUGAAAUCUGGCUCUUUUAGAGUCCGAGUUGUAAUUUGCAGAGAGCGCUUUGGCGUUGGCAGCGGUCCAAGUUCCUUGGAACAGGACGUCACAGAGGGUGAGAAUCCCGUACGUGGUCGCUAACCUUCGCCGUGUAAAGCCUCUUCGACGAGUCGAGUUGUUUGGGAAUGCAGCUCUAAAUGGGAGGUAAAUUUCUUCUAAAGCUAAAUACUGGCCAGAGACCGAUAGCGCACAAGUAGAGUGAUCGAAAGAUGAAAAGCACUUUGGAAAGAGAGUCAAACAGCACGUGAAAUUGUUGAAAGGGAAGCGCUUGCAGCCAGACUUGCCCGCAGUUGCUCAUCCGAACUUUUGUUCGGUGCACUCUUCUGCGGGCAGGCCAGCAUCAGUUUGGGCGGUUGGAUAAAGGUCUCUGUCAUGUACCUCCUCUCGGGGAGGCCUUAUAGGGGAGACGACAUGCAACCAGCCUGGACUGAGGUCCGCGCAUCUGCUAGGAUGCUGGCGUAAUGGCUGUAAGCGGCCCGUCUUGAAACACGGACCAAGGAGUCUAACAUCUAUGCGAGUGUUUGGGUGUCAAGCCCGAGCGCGUAAUGAAAGUGAACGGAGGUGGGAACCCUUAAGGGUGCACCAUCGACCGAUCCUGAUGUCUUCGGAUGGAUUUGAGUAAGAGCAUGGCUGUUGGGACCCGAAAGAUGGUGAACUAUGCUUGAAUAGGGUGAAGCCAGAGGAAACUCUGGUGGAGGCUCGCAGCGGUUCUGACGUGCAAAUCGAUCGUCAAAUUUGGGCAUAGGGGCGAAAGACUAAUCGAACUAUC